rnacentral:rRNA from 1 species
GACGAACGCUGGCGGCGUGCCUAAUACAUGCAAGUUGAGCGCUGAAGGUUGGUACUUGUACCAACUGGAUGAGCAGCGAACGGGUGAGUAACGCGUGGGGAAUCUGCCUUUGAGCGGGGGACAACAUUUGGAAACGAAUGCUAAUACCGCAUAAAAACUUUAAACACAAGUUUUAAGUUUGAAAGAUGCAAUUGCAUCACUCAAAGAUGAUCCCGCGUUGUAUUAGCUAGUUGGUGAGGUAAAGGCUCACCAAGGCGAUGAUACAUAGCCGACCUGAGAGGGGGAUCGGCCACAUUGGGACUGAGACACGGCCCAAACUCCUACGGGAGGCAGCAGUAGGGAAUCUUCGGCAAUGGACGAAAGUCUGACCGAGCAACGCCGCGUGAGUGAAGAAGGGUUUCGGAUCGUAAAACUCUGUUGGUAGAGAAGAACGUUGGUGAGAGUGGAAAGCUCAUCAAGAGACGGUAACUACCCAGAAAGGGACGGCUAACUACGUG